CUUGUGUGUGAUUGUGUUGGAUGUGAGUCUGUCUGUGUGACAGGCCGUUGGCGUAUGUCUGGCAGAUGGAUUGUUUCGGGUCCUGGAUGCACUGAAGAAUCAUCAGGGUCCUGUGGACAAAAGUUAGAUUUUCUGUUAUUCCACGGUGCUUUUAUUUUGAAGUGACAAACAACAUCUGCACGCCUGUCCACCAGAUGUUAACAGACAGACAGACAGACAGACAUUGGAUCAUGUGAACAUGAUGACACAACCACAGCGUUGUCACGACAUGUCAGGGAUUCAUUAUUUUAACAGAGCUGCUGGACGUUACUUACUGGUCGUUGUCUGAGCACGUCCAGCGGAAACCUCUGGACUGGAGGAUUCGGAUCAGGUCCACGAUGGAACCUUGACUACAUGAUUCUCUGUAGAAGAGGAAAAAAAAUAUUAUUUCAUUCAUACAACUUCCCGGUAAAAGGUCUUAUGAGCUGAAACUAACCACAAUAUUAAUAUUAGCAGUGUUUUCAAAUGAGAAUACAUGUUUUGGCUGUGACAACGUGUCCUGUAUAUUUUGUAAUACCUCAAUUCAUCUUGAUACAUAAUUGGGGGGGGUUUAAAACUUUAUAACAAGCCAUAUAUUUUACAGUUAUAAUUGUUAAUAAGUUAAUAAAUGGACUUCCGCCCUGAUUUUCAAUGGAUUUUCCAGAAGUGAACCAUUGGUGGUUCAUCAUGAUGAACAUUAGAGAUAAUAGAACAACGUGGACCCCCUAAUGUUGCUGUUAUUAACGGUUAAUAAUUAAUAUGUUAUGUAAUAGUAUGAAAUCAUUAACUAUAAUAAAGUCAUUAGUUAUGACUUAGAAACCAUUCAUGUUACAUGUCAGGAAAUUAAACAGUUUUGUAAGUAUUUAUGAAAAUAUGAAUAAUAAAACAACAAUAAUGAUACUAAUACUAAUACUAAUACUACUAUUACUGCUAAUAAUAAUAAUAAUGUAUUUCUUUAUAUAUACAGUAUAGCAAUGUUUCAACCUAAGUCGAAAUAAUACAAGCAAAGAAGAAAACAGUUUGUAUGGAAUUAAAAGCUAAAUACAAGAAAUAAAUAAAGAAGAUUAUAUAAUAUUGUAAAUAAUCUGAUAAAAUGGGGGUUGUAUCAAUAAAAUAGAAAUAGUUGUUAUAAGGUGAUUUAACAGAUGGAAAUCAAGGUGAGACAACAAGCCCAGUCAAAGCACAUUUCUUUGUCCUCACAUAAAUGGUCCCUGUAGAUCGGCCACCACCUUAACGUUGACAUAGUUCACCCUUUGUGGAUUCAGGUUGUCCAGUUCAACACUUCCCAACAUGCUGGGAAAUAAAAAAGAUAUAUUAUUUUUAUUUAAAACUCAAUAAACAGCAACAUAUUCGCUUCAUUCGCUGCUUUUCUCAAACCUUUUCCUGUCGAAGGCGUUGACGAUGGAGCCGUUCAGUAACACAGUGAUGUUGCCACACGCCAUUUCUGCAAACUAACAAAUGAAUGAGGAAAGUUGCAUUUUUCUACUGUUACUUUUGGGGACAGUACGUUGCACGUGCAUGAUGAACAUGAAUAAUCUACAGGUUGGACAUUAGACUCACAGUCUGAGAGGCCUGAAGCCACAGAGAAUACACAGCAUGGUUCCUACACGCUGACCAGGCCGGACAAGAGCUGAAAUCAAAACCUAUGAGGUCGUUGAACAAGAAGCCCACCAGCGUGUCCUCCAGCGUCCAGGAGUCACGGACAGCAGCUUUGUAGCUCUGCAUCAGAGUCCUGGUUUUACUCCAGAAGAGAAACUUGGCAGAAGUAGAAGAAUCAAGGUAUGAAUUAAAAAAGGGUGAACCUGCUGUUCUGCAAAUUUCAGAACUGAAAUUUUAAAUUACAUUUCAUUUCAUUUAGCUGACGCUUUUAUCCAAAGCGACUUACAGUAAGUACAUCAACCAUGA